rnacentral:rRNA from 1 species
UACAGAGGGGGCAAGCGUUGUUCGGAAUUACUGGGCGUAAAGGGCGCGUAGGCGGCCUGUUAAGUCGAACGUGAAAUCCCCGGGCUCAACCCGGGAACUGCGUCCGAUACUGGCAGGCUUGAAUCCGGGAGAGGGAUGCGGAAUUCCAGGUGUAGCGGUGAAAUGCGUAGAUAUCUGGAGGAACACCGGUGGUGAAGGCGGCAUCCUGGACCGGCAUUGACGCUGAGGCGCGAAAGCCAGGGGAGCAAACGGG